GACGAACGCUGGCGGCGCGCCUAACACAUGCAAGUCGAACGAGCGAGCGAGAGCUUGCUUUCUUGAGCGAGUGGCGAACGGGUGAGUAACGCGUGAGGAACCUGCCUCAAAGAGGGGGACAACAGUUGGAAACGACUGCUAAUACCGCAUAAGCCCACGGUGCCGCAUGGCACCAAGGGAAAAGGAGCAAUCCGCUUUGAGAUGGCCUCGCGUCCGAUUAGCUAGUUGGUGAGGUAACGGCCCACCAAGGCGACGAUCGGUAGCCGGACUGAGAGGUUGAACGGCCACAUUGGGACUGAGACACGGCCCAGACUCCUACGGGAGGCAGCAGUGGGGAAUAUUGCACAAUGGGGGAAACCCUGAUGCAGCGACGCCGCGUGGAGGAAGAAGGUCUUCGGAUUGUAAACUCCUGUUGUUGGGGAAGAUAAUGACGGUACCCAACAAGGAAGUGACGGCUAACUACGUG
rnacentral:rRNA from 1 species